rnacentral:rRNA from 1 species
UAACUGAAGAGUUUGAUCAUGGCUCAGAUUGAACGCUGGCGGCAGGCCUAACACAUGCAAGUCGAGCGGUAACAGGAAGUGCUUGCACUUCGCUGACGAGCGGCGGACGGGUGAGUAACGCGUAGGAAUUUGCCUGACAGAGGGGGAUAGCCCGGAGAAAUUCGGAUUAAUACCGCAUAUCCUCUACGGAGGAAAGAAGGCCUCUCCUUGGAAGCUUUCACUGUCAGAUAAGCCUGCGUUGGAUUAGCUUGAUGGUAGGGUAAAGGCCUACCAUGGCGACGAUCCAUAGCUGGUCUGAGAGGAUGAUCAGCCACACUGGGACUGAGACACGGCCCAGACUCCUACGGGAGGCAGCAGUGGGGAAUAUUGCACAAUGGGCGCAAGCCUGAUGCAGCCAUGCCGCGUGUGUGAAGAAGGCCUUCGGGUUGUAAAGUACUUUCAGCGGGGAGGAAGGGAGUAAAGUUAAUACCUUUGCUUAUUGACGUUACCCAUAGAAGAAGCACCGGCUAACUCCGUGCCAGCAGCCGCGGUAAUACGGAGGGUGCGAGCGUUAAUCGGAAUUACUGGGCGUAAAG